UACGAGGGGGGCGAGCGUUGUUCGGAAUUAUUGGGCGUAAAGGGUGCGUAGGCGGUUUUGUAAGUCUUAUGUGAAAUCUAUGGGCUCAACUCAUAGACUGCAUGAGAAACUGCAGGGCUUGAGUAUGGGAGAGGUGAGUGGAAUUCCUGGUGUAGCGGUGAAAUGCGUAGAUAUCAGGAGGAACACCAGUGGCGAAGGCGGCUUCCUGGACCGGUUCUGACACUGAGGAGCGAAAGCGUGGGGAGCGAUCCGG
rnacentral:rRNA from 1 species